rnacentral:rRNA from 1 species
GACGAACGCUGGCGGCGUGCUUAACACAUGCAAGUCGAACGGAAAGGCCCUGCUUUUGUGGGGUGCUCGAGUGGCGAACGGGUGAGUAACACGUGAGUAACCUGCGCUUGACUUUGGGAUAACUUCUGGAAACUGGGGCUAAUACCGGAUAGGAGCUACUGCUGCAUGGUGGGGGUUGGAAAGUUUCGGCGGUUGGGGAUGGACUCGCGGCUUAUCAGCUUGUUGGUGGGGUAGUGGCUGACCAAGGCUUUGACGGGUAGCCGGCCUGAGAGGGUGACCGGCCACAUUGGGACUGCGGUACGGCCCAGACUCCUACCGGAGGCAGCAGUGGGGAAUAUUGCACAAUGGGCGGAAGCCUGAUGCAGCAACGCCGCGUGCGGGAUGACGGCCUUCGAGUUGUAAACCGCUUUCUCCGGUGACGAAGCGUGAGUGACGGUAAUGGGUAAAGAAGCACCGGCUAACUACGUG